rnacentral:rRNA from 1 species
CCUACGUGUGGCAGCAGUGAGGAAUAUUGGACAAUGGACGCAAGUCUGAACCAGCCAUGCCGCGUGCAUGAUGACGGCUCUAUGAUUUGUAAACUGCUUUUGUACGAGGGUAAACCCCGAUACGUGUAUCGUGAUGAAAUUAUCUUACGAAUAAGGGUCGACUAACUUCGGGCCAGCAGCCGCGGUAAUACGGAGGAGCAGAGCGUUAGCCGGAUUUAUUGGGUUUAAAGGGUGCGUAGGCGGUUUGAUAAGUUAGAGGUGAAAUGUCGGGGCUCAACCCCGAAAAUGCCUCUAAUACUGUUGGGCUAGAGAAUAGUUGAGGUAGGCGGAAUGUAUGGUGUAGCGGUGAAAUGCUUAGAGAUCA